rnacentral:rRNA from 1 species
UACGUAGGUGGCAAGCGUUGUCCGGAUUUACUGGGCGUAAAGGGUGCGUAGGUGGUUUCUUAAGUCAGAGGUGAAAGGCUACGGCUCAACCGUAGUAAGCCUUUGAAACUGGGAAACUUGAGUGCAGGAGAGGAGAGUGGAAUUCCUAGUGUAGCGGUGAAAUGCGUAGAUAUUAGGAGGAACACCAGUUGCGAAGGCGGCUCUCUGGACUGCAACUGACGCUGAGGCGCGAAAGUGUGGGGAGCAAACAGGAUUAGAUACCCGGGUAGUCCCU